UACAGAGGGUGCAAGCGUUGUUCGGAAUUACUGGGCGUAAAGGGCGCGUAGGCGGCCCGCUAAGUCGAACGUGAAAUCCCCGAGCUCAACUCGGGAACUGCGUCCGAUACUGGUGGGCUUGAAUCCGGGAGAGGGAUGCGGAAUUCCAGGUGUAGCGGUGAAAUGCGUAGAUAUCUGGAGGAACACCGGUGGCGAAGGCGACAUCCUGGACCGGUAUUGACGCUGAGGCGCGAAAGCCAGGGGAGCAAACGGG
rnacentral:rRNA from 1 species